rnacentral:lncRNA from 10 species
CUGCCCCCUCAGCCUAGCCGUUCUUGAUCGUAAGUGCUAAAAGGAACAAAGAAGGAGAAUUCAAGAAUCCACACAUAAGCCCAAACCCUGACAGGAGCCUUUUCCUCUCCCAUCUCCUGCCUACGCUUCCUCCUAGUAGCUUUUUAACUGCUGGCGGUUAAGUUACUUUGACUGGUUUGAAUUAAACGCAAAAUAGGUUUAGGCUGAGAAAUGGGCCAGACCCUUGGCGAUCUGAGAAAGAAAGACUGAGUCCGGAUGUCAAGAGGCCUGGGCCUCACGAGGGAGUUUGUCUGCUUAUUUGAACACCUCAGAGUUGAAGAUCUUGUUACUGCUAUUUCUGUGCUGGUGAAUCAGUACAGACCUUGAUGCCAAGGUUUCUUCAUCUGGCUGUUUAUUUGUAUUCUUUAAAAUAUCCUUCUUAAUAAACCGGUAAGUGUGUUUCUGAGUUCUGUGAGCUGCUCUAGCAAAUUAAUCAAACCCAGAGAGGGAGUCGUGGGAACCCCAGCUUGAAGCUGGUUGGUCAGAAGUUCCGGAGGAAACCCGACUUACAACUGGUGGGUCAUGGAGAGGGUGGUCUUGUGGGACUGAGUCCUCAACCUGGGGACUCUGACUCUGUCUCCAGGUACAUAGUGUCAGAACUGAAUUGGAGGACACCCAGCUGGUGUAUACUGCUUCAUGUCGGGGAGAAAAACCCCCACACCUUUGGUCACAGAAGGCUUCUGUGUUGAUGUUCGUUGUGAUGAUGUGAGAGCAGAGGAAAAAGGGAAAGCAGGAGUUUUCUUAUCAGUGAAAUAAGUACAAUAUUGCUCAUGUGAG